rnacentral:rRNA from 1 species
AGAACGAACGCUGGCGGCAGGCUUAACACAUGCAAGUCGAACGCUCGUAGCAAUACGGGAGUGGCAGACGGGUGAGUAACGCGUGGGAACAUACCCUCCGGUUCGGAAUAGCUCAGGGAAACUUGGAUUAAUACCGGAUACGGCUGAGAGGCGAAAGAUUUAUCGCCGGAGGAUUGGCCCGCGUUCGAUUAGCUUGUUGGUGAGGUAACGGCUCACCAAGGCGAUGAUCGAUAGCUGGUCUGAGAGGAUGAUCAGCCACAUUGGGACUGAGACACGGCCCAAACUCCUACGGGAGGCAGCAGUGGGAAUAUUGGACAAUGGGCGCAAGCCUGAUCCAGCCAUGCCGCGUGAGUGAUGACGGCCUUAGGGUUGUAAAGCUCUUUCGCUCAGGACGAUAAUGACGGUACCGAGAUAAGAAGCCCCGGCUAACUUCGUGCCAGCCAGCCGC